AUACAUCCUCAUCCUCAUCACCAUCAAUCUCUCUCUCUCUCUCUCUCUCUCACACACACACACACACACACAUACCAGAAAGAGAAAAUGGUGAGCAUUGUCGCAAACAUGAAGAAAGGAAUAAGUAAUCUUGUUGACAUUGUAUCUUGUGGAAGCAGAGGAACUAAGGAAAGUGAUGUUGAAGUACCAAAGAUGAAAGUUGAGACUAAAUUAGCUACGACGACAGCAAGAGGUCCAGACAAUGAGAAAUCCAAUGGUCCUGGUGUUGAAUCGACUUAGAAGAUGACACAAUAUAUUGUCACUAUUUAUUGUAUUACUCCUACUUUGCAUCUUCUUGAUUGUUUCAAUUGUUUAUGUAUCUUUUAUUAUGUAGUAUUGCCAAAUUUGGGUGGUACUUAAUUAGUUUGGAAUGGAAGUAUUGUUCAAGCUUUAAAUAAUUAGAGGAUUUGAACCUCAAUUACAAAAAUAAAUGUAAUAGUACUACUACUUUUUAGACAUCAUGAAAUUAAAGUAGUAGUAGUACUUUUUUUCCUAAGUCAAUAUUGAAGAUUUUUGUUUC